UACGUAGGGCGCAAGCGUUGUCCGGAAUUAUUGGGCGUAAAGAGCUCGUAGGCGGCCUGUUGCGUCCGCUGUGAAAUCCCGGGGCUCAACCCCGGGCCUGCAGUGGAUACGGGCUGGCUGGAGGCAGGCAGGGGAGAACGGAAUUCCUGGUGUAGCGGUGAAAUGCGCAGAUAUCAGGAGGAACACCGGUGGCGAAGGCGGUUCUCUGGGCCUGUUCUGACGCUGAGGAGCGAAAGCGUGGGGAGCAAACAGG
rnacentral:rRNA from 1 species